UACAGAGGUGGCAAGCGUUGUUCGGAAUUACUGGGCGUAAAGGGCGCGUAGGCGGUUCGUUAAGUCCUGUGUGAAAUCCCCCGGCUCAACUGGGGAACUGCACAGGAAACUAGCGGGCUUGAGUUCGGGAGAGGGAAGCGGAAUUCCGGGUGUAGCGGUGAAAUGCGCAGAUAUUAGGAGGAACACCUAUUGCGAAGGCAGCUCGCUGGGACGCAACUGACGCUGAGACGCGAAAGCGUGGGGAGCAAACAGG
rnacentral:rRNA from 1 species